CACAUGUGGUAUUCUAGAGGGGCGUGACUACCUGGUCUUUCCUAGAGCCUCUGAUGGUGAGGAUAGGCUUGGGCCAUUAGGGUAGUCACCAGGUACCAUUCCAGAGCAGUCCCUGAGUCAGUGGCAGCUGGCCAGGGGGUCAGAGAUACCAGUGCAAAG